rnacentral:tRNA from 1 species
GGGGUUGUGGCUCAACGGUAGAGCACUCGUAUAGCAUGUGUGAGGCCCUGGGUUCAAUCCUCAGCACCA